UACGAAGGGGGCUAGCGUUGUUCGGAAUCACUGGGCGUAAAGCGCACGUAGGCGGUCUUUUAAGUCGGGGGUGAAAUCCUGGAGCUCAACUCCAGAACUGCCUUCGAUACUGGAAGACUUGAGUCCGGGAGAGGUGAGUGGAACUGCGAGUGUAGAGGUGAAAUUCGUAGAUAUUCGCAAGAACACCAGUGGCGAAGGCGGCUCACUGGCCCGAUACUGACGCUGAGGCACGAAAGCGUGGGGAGCAAACAGGG
rnacentral:rRNA from 1 species